GACAGAGGGGGCAAGCGUUGCUCGGAAUUACUGGGCGUAAAGGGCGCGUAGGCGGGCUGGUAAGUCAGGGGUGAAAGCCCACGGCCCAACCGUGGAAGUGCCUUUGAUACUGCCAGUCUCGAGGGAGGUAGGGGCGUGCGGAACUUCCGGUGGAGCGGUGAAAUGCGUAGAUAUCGGAAGGAACACCGGUGGCGAAAGCGGCGCGCUGGACCUCUUCUGACGCUGAGGCGCGAAAGCCAGGGGAGCAAACGGG
rnacentral:rRNA from 1 species